rnacentral:tRNA from 1 species
GGGCCUGUAGCUCAGAGGAUUAAUAUGUUUGCUCGCGGCAAUUGUGGCCUCUCGGGAGAAUCG